GGAAGUAAAAGGCGUAACAAGGUUUCCGUAGGUGAACCUGCGGAAGGAUCAUUAAUGAGUUGUCAUGGGGUUCGAUGCUGGCAGCCAGUUUUUGGAUGCAUGUGCUUGCCCUAACAAUCAUCUUCUUCCAAACACCUGUGCACAUUUUUGAGGGAGUCUUGAGUUGGUUGCCGCUCUUGGGUGAUUUUCUCACAUUCCCUUAAAUCAGUAUACGCUAUUAACAAUGUUGAACGUGCUCUGUGUCGCAAGGCCAUUAAUAUAAUACAACUUUUAACAACGGAUCUCUUGGCUCUC
rnacentral:misc_RNA from 1 species